AUGGGGGGAACCCUGAUGCAGCGACGCAGCGUGCGGGAUGACGGCCUUCGGGUUGUAAACCGCUUUCAGCAGGGAAGAAGCGAAAGUGACGGUACCUGCAGAAGAAGUACCGGCUAACUACGUGCCAGCAGCCGCGGUAAUACGUAGGGUACGAGCGUUGUCCGGAAUUAUUGGGCGUAAAGAGCUCGUAGGUGGUUGGUCACGUCUGCUGUGGAAACGCAACGCUUAACGUUGCGCGUGCAGUGGGUACGGGCUGACUAGAGUGCAGUAGGGGAGUCUGGAAUUCCUGGUGUAGCGGUGAAAUGCGCAGAUAUCAGGAGGAACACCGGUGGCGAAGGCGGGACUCUGGGCUGUAACUGACACUGAGGAGCGAAAGCAUGGGGAGCGAACAGGAUUAGAUACCCUGGUAGUCCAUGCCGUAAACGUUGGGCACUAGGUGUGGGGGACAUUCCACGUUCUCCGCGCCGUAGCUAACGCAUUAAGUGCCCCGCCUGGGGAGUACGGUCGCAAGGCUAAAACUCAAAGGAAUUGACGGGGGCCCGCACAAGCGGCGGAGCAUGCGGAUUAAUUCGAUGCAACGCGAAGAACCUUACCAAGGCUUGACAUACACUGGACCGUUCUGGAAACAGUUCUUCUCUUUGGAGCUGGUGUACAGGUGGUGCAUGGUUGUCGUCAGCUCGUGUCGUGAGAUGUUGGGUUAAGUCCCGCAACGAGCGCAACCCUCGUUCUAUGUUGCCAGCA
rnacentral:rRNA from 1 species